GGACUACACGGGUAUCUAAUCCCGUUCGCUCCCCACGCUUUCGUGCCUCAGUGUCAGAACCGGCCCAGUCACCCGUCUUCACCACCGGCGUUCCAGACGAUAUCUACGCAUUUCACCGCUCCACCGUCUGUUCCAGUGACCCCUACCGGCCUCAAGCACGCCAGUAUCCGAAGCAGUUCCUGGGUUGAGCCCAGGGAUUUCACAACGGACUUAACGCGCCACCUACGCACCCUUUAAACCCAGUGAUUCUCAGUAACGCUCGGGACCUCUGUAUUACCGCGGCGGCUGGCAC
rnacentral:rRNA from 2 species